rnacentral:rRNA from 1 species
GACGAACGCUGGCGGCGUGCCUAAUACAUGCAAGUGGGACGCAAGGGAACACACUGUGCUUGCACACCGUGUUUUCUUGAGUCGCGAACGGGUGAGUAACGCGUAGGUAACCUGCCUAUUAGCGGGGGAUAACUAUUGGAAACGAUAGCUAAUACCGCAUAAUAUUAAUUAUUGCAUGAUAAUUGAUUGAAAGAUGCAAGCGCAUCACUAGUAGAUGGACCUGCGUUGUAUUAGCUAGUUGGUAAGGUAAGAGCUUACCAAGGCGACGAUACAUAGCCGACCUGAGAGGGUGAUCGGCCACACUGGGACCGAGACACGGCCCAGACUCCUACGGGAGGCAGCAGUAGGGAAUCUUCGGCAAUGGACGAAAGUCUGACCGAGCAACGCCGCGUGAGUGAAGAAGGUUUUCGGAUCGUAAAGCUCUGUUGUAAGUCAA